rnacentral:rRNA from 1 species
GAUGAACGCUAGCGGCAGGCUUAAUACAUGCAAGUCGUGGGGCAGCAUGAAGUAGCAAUACUUUGAUGGCGACCGGCAAACGGGUGCGGAACACGUACACAACCUUCCUUUUAGUGGGGAAUAGCCCAGAGAAAUUUGGAUUAAUACCCCGUAACAUAGCGAUGUGGCAUCACAUUGCUAUUAUAGCUUCGGCGCUAGAUGAUGGGUGUGCGUAUGAUUAGAUAGUUGGCGAGGUAACGGCUCACCAAGUCUACGAUCAUUAGCUGAUGUGAGGCCAGGAUCAGCCACACGGGCAAGGAGACACGGGCCCGACACCUACGGGAGGCAGCAGUAAGGAAUAUUGGUAAAUGGCCGAAAGUCUGAACCAGCCAUGCCGCGUGAAGGAUUAAGGUCCUCUGGAUUGUAAACUUCUUUUAUAUGGGACGAAAAAAGGUCUUUCUAGAUCACUUGACGGUGCCAUAUGAAUAAGCACCGGCUAACUCCGUGCCAGCAGCCGCAGUAA